rnacentral:misc_RNA from 1 species
AUGCAGGUCCUUUUUAUACGACGAGCAGGAUCUCAGGAGCGCGUGGUCGCCAGCGUACUGCAUGGCCCCCUCUCUCUGACCCACAGGCUCCUUAGUAUACCAUUGGACUACAAUGCACAAUUCUGCUUUGUGUCGGCAAAAAAAGGAAACAAAAGAUACAGUUUGCGUCGAGUACUAUCUAAACGAAGGCUUCCAAUUGACGUUAUUUUCAUUCCGGAAAUGACGUCAAAUGACUCGGAAUCGUUUACACCAAUGAGACUGAUAAACAGUGAUGACAAGCUGGUGCUGAGACUGACACACACGUAUCAGGAUACCUUUCUUCUGGGUCACAACUUGUCAGAAGAUAAAGUAACCUCCGCCAUUCAACAGAUUCCAUUGUUUCUGACAGACCUUCGCAUGUCUCUGAUUGUUGGUAGAGAGGGCUAUGAACAAACGGAAUGGAGCAAUUACAUCCACUCUUUAAACGAAAUUUGCAAUAACCAGAUACAGUGUGAUAAUUACUUUGGAAAUCCAGAUAUAGCUCUCUACGCUAAAGAGGAUGGAGAUUUUGAUGCCACAGUUCAAGUACCGCAAGUUUAUUGCACGUUACAUGAUUGUCUCAAUGAAGCAGAUGUGUACCAAACGCUUACUGGGUCAAAACCAGAAAAACGUCGCCCAGAUGAGAACUGUGACACGUACGAAGUGAUCGCUUCAUGUACUAGAGAACAGGCGCCAUCUUGUUCUGAGGAUACAAAACCAAAAAUCCCACCUAAGCCUCAGUACAAGUCUAAAUCGAUGCAUCGGUCAAGAUCUGCUGAUGAUUCAGCUAAAAGUGGAGGCGCCCUUCCCGGCAUCCCCCCAAGAAGAGGAACUUGCGUCACUCGAACAAAUAAGGUCAAAGGUCAAGCAUCCUUAUUGGGACUUUUUAAGAAACACCAUGACCAUGAUGACACUGGUGAAACAUCUUCAGAGUUGAAGGGCGUAUAUGAAGACAUUAGUGAAACUUCGAGAGAUAACAUGUACUCUCCGAGUAAACUGAUCAGCCAAUCUUCGUUUUCUGCCAAAACUGACCCCAAGGACGUAAACAGCCCCGUGCUACCCGCAAGGAAUAUAAACCCUAGAGGUAAAAACAUACGAAAUAAACCAGUAACCAUCGAUGCGAAGAAAGACUUGCAAAAAAUGAAUGUUGCGGAUGUAGGUGCUCUGUUGCAGAAACUGAGACUUGAAAAAUACGCUUCUGUUUUUGAAAAACAGUGGAUCGACGGUGCUAUUUUGAGCGAACUGACUGCCGACAUUCUUCACACGGAUUGUGGAAUGACAAAAUUGGAGGCUGUGAGGUUAAUGGCCUACGUGGAGAAAGGUCAUAUACCUGGUUAGAAUACCUGUUCUAUGACGUAAAAUAACAGGUUUACAUUCGUCAUCGUGGAUUCUCUUUAAAACUACAGCGUGAUAAAACACGUGCGAUCAUUACAUAAUCUUGAGGUGAGGUAACCAAAAUGGGAACUAAAGAAAUUCAAUAGUCCAUAGCAGUUCUUUGUCCUCUGGAGAACAAAAAUAUUCUUUUUAUUCGUCUUCUUCAACAAAAAUAAAACAUUUAGUCACGUAAAAUAAAAUUAUCCAUCAAAUCGAGGAAUAAAAGAACUUGGAGGAAAAUAUAUGACAUAUAUGUAUAUUUAAACAUGCAGACAUUAUCAUGCGUUUUAACAACAUCCUUCAUAUAGGAAGGUUGAACGUAUUAAGUGGUAUGGGGCACUUGUCGAAAUUAAUGUACAUAAAAAUCAAAAUAUUUUCACCGAUUUUUUUUUAAAGGACAAGGGACAUUAUUGGCCAAAAUAUGCAGUGUUUCAAAUAUGCACAUAUUCAGUAGGUUAUGGUAAUAAACUUGCACAAGUA